rnacentral:rRNA from 1 species
GGCGAACGCUGGCGGCGUGCUUAACACAUGCAAGUCGAACGGAAAGGCCCUGCUUGCAGGGUACUCGAGUGGCGAACGGGUGAGUAACACGUGGGUGAUCUGCCCUGCACUUCGGGAUAAGCCUGGGAAACUGGGUCUAAUACCGGAUAGUAGCCAUUUUUAGUGUGAUGGUUGGAAAGUUUUUUCGGUGUAGGAUGAGCUCGCGGCCUAUCAGCUUGUUGGUGGGGUAAUGGCCUACCAAGGCGGCGACGGGUAGCCGGCCUGAGAGGGUGGACGGCCACAUUGGGACUGAGAUACGGCCCAGACUCCUACGGGAGGCAGCAGUGGGGAAUAUUGCACAAUGGGCGCAAGCCUGAUGCAGCGACGCCGCGUGGGGGAUGACGGCCUUCGGGUUGUAAACUCCUUUCGCUAGGGACGAAGCUUUUUGUGACGGUACCUAGAGAAGAAGCACCGGCUAACUACGUG